rnacentral:rRNA from 1 species
CCUACGGGAGGCAGCAGUGGGGAAUAUUGGACAAUGGGCGCAAGCCUGAUCCAGCCAUGCCGCGUGAGUGAUGAAGGCCUUAGGGUUGUAAAGCUCUUUCGUCCGGGACGAUAAUGACGGUACCGGAAGAAGAAGCCCCGGCUAACUUCGUGCCAGCAGCCGCGGUAAUACGAAGGGGGCUAGCGUUGUUCGGAAUCACUGGGCGUAAAGGGCGCGUAGGCGGCUUUGUAAGUCGGGGGUGAAAGCCUGUGGCUCAACCACAGAAUUGCCUUCGAUACUGCAUGGCUUGAGACCGGAAGAGGUUAGUGGAACUGCGAGUGUAGAGGUGAAAUUCGUAGAUAUUCGCAAGAACACCAGUGGCGAAGGCGGCUGACUGGUCCGGUUCUGACGCUGAGGCGCGAAAGCGUGGGGAGCAAACAGGAUUAGAUACCCCAGUAGUC